rnacentral:lncRNA from 1 species
UCAGGUGCCACCUCUGUGCCUCGCUGUCGAUGGAUGCCACAGAAAGCCUGUCAAUGCCCUUUCCAGUAUCAACGAGAGAGUGACUGAAGAGGAAUGGCUGCAGUCACUGACUUCCUUCCAGGAGCUCAUUCCCUUCCCAGAGUUAAGGACAUGGCUUAACUCUUCAAAAGUCCUUGCCUCUACAACCAGGGAAAUGAAGACUAAUCUGGGGAUUCAAGCAGGGAUUUUCAGUUUAGACUGAGCUGAAGAUCAUUAUCAGAUAGAAACAUCCUUUCUCUAUGAGUUCUUGUCAAGGCCAUGAUGUCGCCUGCAGUGACUACGGCGUUAUUGCAAACUUCAGUGGAACGUGAAAUGUGUGGUCUUAAGGGUGUAUGCUUAUGAACACAGCCAUGGCUGUUCUGAGCAUAUGCUGUAUCAUCCAAAGGACAUCGGUGACAGAAAUCUCCCAGAUAAGGUCUGCUUUGCCUUUGGAUUAAAGAAGAUGCAUCAUGUAGUAUUCCUACUGCAAUUAAUUGAUGAAUAUAUUCUCCCUCACUGGAGUUUCUGAUAUGUCUAGAAACCUGCCACUGUGCAAACUAAAUGAGUAUGUCCAAAAUAAGGAAGAGAAUAAAGAAGAAAGAGAAGUCA